rnacentral:rRNA from 1 species
CCUACGGGCGGCAGCAGUGAGGAAUAUUGGUCAAUGGACGAGAGUCUGAACCAGCCAAGUAGCGUGAAGGAUGACUGCCCUAUGGGUUGUAAACUUCUUUUAUAUGGGAAUAAAACGUUCCACGUGUGGGAUUUUGUAUGUACCAUAUGAAUAAGGAUCGGCUAACUCCGUGCCAGCAGCCGCGGUAAUACGGAGGAUCCGAGCGUUAUCCGGAUUUAUUGGGUUUAAAGGGAGCGUAGGUGGAUUGUUAAGUCAGUUGUGAAAGUUUGCGGCUCAACCGUAAAAUUGCAGUUGAAACUGGCAGUCUUGAGUACAGUAGAGGUGGGCGGAAUUCGUGGUGUAGCGGUGAAAUGCUUAGAUAUCACGAAGAACUCCGAUUGCGAAGGCAGUUCACUUGACUGCAACUGACACUGAGGCUCGAAAGUGUGGGUAUCAAACAGGAUUAGAUACCCGUGUAGUC